CAUGCACCAGUGGAGUCCCUCGGCCUGGCCUGCACCUUCUUGAAAUCCAGGAUCCCUCAGGGGAUGUUGAAGAGCUGGCUUUGGCCUGAUCCUGCAGGCCAGGCUGAGGGACUCCACUGGUGCACG
rnacentral:pre_miRNA from 1 species